GACGAACGCUGGCGGCGUGCCUAACACAUGCAAGUCGAGCGGAGGUACAAUGAGAGCAAUCGAGAUGUACUUUAGCGGCGGACGGGUGAGUAACGCGUGAGCAACCUGCCUAUCACAGGGGGAUAAGGCGGCGAAAGCCGCUCUAAUACCGCAUGAGACCCUCAAAGCGAUGCAAUGGGGGUGAAAGGAGCGAUCCGGUGAGAGAUGGGCUCGCGUCCGAUUAGGUAGUUGGUAGGGUAAGGGCCUACCAAGCCAAUGAUCGGUAGCCGGCCUGAGAGGGUGAACGGCCACAUUGGAACUGAGAGACGGUCCAAACUCCUACGGGAGGCAGCAGUGGGGAAUAUUGGGCAAUGGGCGGAAGCCUGACCCAGCAACGCCGCGUGAGGGAAGAAGGUUUUCGGAUUGUAAACCUCUGUUCUUGGGGAAGAGGAAGAGACGGUACCCAAGGAGGAAGCCCCGGCUAACUACGUG
rnacentral:rRNA from 1 species